rnacentral:rRNA from 1 species
CCUGCCCGGUGCUGGAAGGUUAAGGGGAUCUGUUAGAGCAAUCGAAGCAGUGAACUUAAGCCCCAGUAAACGGCGGCCGUAACUAUAACGGUCCUAAGGUAGCGAAAUUCCUUGUCGGGUAAGUUCCGACCCGCACGAAAGGCGUAACGAUUUGGGCACUGUCUCAACAACAGACUCGGUGAAAUUGUAAUUCCGGUGAAGAUGCCGGAUACCUGCGACAGGACGGAAAGACCCCAUGGAGCUUUACUGUAGCUUGACAUUGGGUCUUGGUACUACAUGUACAGGAUAGGUGGGAGGCUUUGAAACCAGGACGCCAGUUUUGGCGGAGCCAUCCUUGGGAUACCACCCUUGUAGUACUGGGACUCUAACCAUAGGCCAUGAAUCUGGUCUUGGGACACUGUCAGGUGGGCAGUUUGACUGGGGCGGUCGCCUCCCAAAAGGUAACGGAGGCGCUCAAAGGUUCUCUCAGUACGGUCGGAAAUCGUACGUAGAGUGUAAAGGCAAAAGAGAGCUUGAUUGCAAGACAUACAGGUCGAGCAAGGAUGAAAAUCGGACUUAGUGAUCCGGUGGUUCUGCGUGGAAGGGCCAUCGCUCAACGGAUAAAAGCUACCCUGGGGAUAACAGGCUUAUCUCCCCCAAGAGUCCACAUCGACGGGGAGGUUUGGCACCUCGAUGUCGGCUCAUCACAUCCUGGGGCUGUAGUAGGUCCCAAGGGUUGGGCUGUUCGCCCAUUAAAGUGGUACGCGAGCUGGGUUCAGAACGUCGUGAGACAGUUCGGUCCCUAUCCGUCGCAGGCGUAGGAAAUUUGAGAAGACCUGUCCUUAGUACGAGAGGACCGGGAUGGACGUACCUCUGGUGUACCAGUUGUCCUGCCAAGGGCAUGGCUGGGUAGCUAUGUACGGAAUGGAUAAGCGCUGAAAGCAUCUAAGCGCGAAGCCAACUUCAAGAUAAGAUUUCCCACCGCAAGGGUAAGACCCCAGAAAGACUAUCUGGUUGAUAGGUCGAAGGUGUAAGUGCAGCAAUGUAUUUAGCUUAUCGAUACUAAUAG